rnacentral:rRNA from 1 species
AACGAACGCUGGCGGCAGGCCUAACACAUGCAAGUCGAGCGAGGACUUCGGUCCUAGCGGCGGACGGGUGAGUAACGCGUGGGAACGUGCCCUUUGCUUCGGAAUAGCCCUGGGAAACUGGGAGUAAUACCGGAUGAGCCCUUUGGGGGAAAGAUUUAUCGGCGAAGGAUCGGCCCGCGUUGGAUUAGGUAGUUGGUGGGGUAAUGGCCUACCAAGCCGACGAUCCAUAGCUGGUUUGAGAGGAUGAUCAGCCACACUGGGACUGAGACACGGCCCAGACUCCUACGGGAGGCAGCAGUGGGGAAUCUUAGACAAUGGGGGAAACCCUGAUCUAGCCAUGCCGCGUGAGCGAUGAAGGCCUUAGGGUUGUAGAGCUCUUUCAGCUGGGAAGAUAAUGACGGUACCAGCAGAAGAAGCCCCGGCUAACUCCGUG